rnacentral:tRNA from 1 species
UUCCUGGCAGUCCAGUGGUUAGGACUUGGCAUUUUUCACUGCCAAGGGCCUGGGUUCAAUCCCUGGUCGCGGAA